ensembl:snRNA U6 U6 spliceosomal RNA
GUGCUCGCUUCAGCAGCACAUAUACUAAGAUUGGAAUGAUGCAGAGAAGAUUAGCAUGGCCCCUGCACGCGUGUUCUAAUUCUCAACAAAAUACUGAGUAUU